GUAGUCUCGCACAGAUGCAUAUCAAUAAGCGGAGGAAAAGAAACUAACAAGGAUUCCCCUAGUAACGGCGAGUGAAGCGGGAAGAGCUCAAAUUUGAAAUCUUAAAGGGUUUCCCUUUACGAAUUGUAGUUUAAAGAAGUGUUUUCUGUUGAGGUUUUGGUAAAAGUUCUUUGGAAUAGGACAUCAUAGAGGGUGAGAAUCCCGUAUUUGACCUUUACUUUCAACUUUGUGAUACACUUUCAAAGAGUCGGAUUGUUUGGGAAUGCAGUCCAAAAUGGGUGGUAAAUUUCAUCUAAAGCUAAAUAUUGGCGAGAGACCGAUAGCGAACAAGUACCGUGAGGGAAAGAUGAAAAGAACUUUGAAAAGAGAGUUAAACAGUACGUGAAAUUGUCAAAAGGGAAGCGUUUGACACCAGUGUUGUUUUUCUGAAAAUCAAUUAAAGAACUGUUUAUGCUAAGUUGUUUAGACUUUAUCAGCUAACUGUUUAGUUUUGAGCUUUUCUUUAAUGCACUUUUCAGUUAACAAGUCAACAUCAAUUUCUUUUGCUGUAAAAAAGCUUGAGGAAGGUGGCUUGAGAUUCGUCUUAAGUGUUUAUAGCCUCUUGCCUAUGCAGUCGGAGAGAUUGAGGUCUGCAGCGUAGAUCCUUCGGGGCUAAAUGCAUUUGUGCUAAGUUAUAGCAUUUUAUAGACAACUUGUUGACUAUGAUUUGUCUUGUAGCUUACUCGCUUAUGUUAUUUUACCUACGCUUAGGAUGUUGACGCAUGAGAUAUACGC
rnacentral:rRNA from 1 species